rnacentral:rRNA from 1 species
CACGGGGGGAGCAAACGUUGUUCGGAAUCACUGGGCGUAAAGGGCGCGUAGGCGGCCUCGUAAGUGGUGUGUGAAAUCUCCUGGCUCAACCAGGGAAUUGCGCUCCAAACUGCGAGGCUUGAGGGCAGUAGAGGAAGCUGGAAUUCCUGGUGUAGCGGUGAAAUGCGCAGAUAUCAGGAGGAACACCGGUGGCGAAGGCGGCAUCCUGGACCGGUAUUGACGCUGAUGCGCGAAAGCCAGGGGAGCAAACGGG